GCGACACUAGCUCAAUUGGCAGAGCGGUCAUUUGCAGAAUGGCAGGUUGCUGGUUCAAGUCCAGCGUGGCU
rnacentral:tRNA from 2 species